rnacentral:misc_RNA from 1 species
CUUUAAUUGGCAUAUCAUAAAUGGAUAAUGGCCUUUUAACUAGUAUAUUUGCUCUCAUAUCCUCAAUUCUCUUGAACUCUUGAAUUCUGAGUAUUUUGUUGUUUAAAAAUUUUCAAAACCUGAAUUGGGUUUUCUAAUUCUAGCCAGAAAUGCCACCUUCAUACUUCCCUCUUAGGUGGGAAAGCACAGGAGACCAAUGGUGGUAUGCGUCACCGAUUGAUUUUGCGGCAGCCAAUGGUCACUAUGACUUGGUGAGGGAGCUUCU